UACGGAGGGGGCAAGCGUUGUUCGGAAUUACUGGGCGUAAAGGGCGCGCAGGCGGCUGCUCAAGUCAGGCGUGAAAGGCCUGGGCUCAACCCGGGAAUUGCGCUUGAGACUGGGCUGGCUUGAGUGCGGGAGAGGAUGGUGGAAUUCCCAGUGUAGCGGUGAAAUGCGUAGAUAUUGGGAGGAACACCAGUGGCGAAGGCGGCUACCUGGACCGGUUCUGACGCUGAUGCGCGAAAGCGUGGGGAGCAAACAGG
rnacentral:rRNA from 1 species